rnacentral:rRNA from 1 species
UACGUAGGGGGCAAGCGUUGUCCGGAAUUAUUGGGCGUAAAGAGCGUGUAGGCGGUCCGGUAAGUCGGCUGUGAAAGUCCAGGGCUCAACCCUGGGAUGCCGGUCGAUACUGCCGGACUAGAGUUCGGAAGAGGCGAGUGGAAUUCCCGGUGUAGCGGUGAAAUGCGCAGAUAUCGGGAGGAACACCUAUGGCGAAGGCAGCUCGCUGGGACGUUACUGACGCUGGAGACGCGAAAGCGUGGGGAGCAAACAGG